rnacentral:lncRNA from 1 species
ACAGGGGUCAAUGGGAGACAGGAUGGACACAAGGACAUGGAAGAUAGAGGGGGACACAUGGGGACAUGGGAUAGACACAGAGGACAUGGCAGGACACAAGGGACAUGGGGAACACAGCGGGACAAGGGAGGACUGGGAGGACACGUGGAGACACAGGGGACAUUGGUGGACACAGGGGGGUGACACAGGGGUACUGAGUGUCCCCCGUGUCCCCAGCGAGGAGGAGCUGACGCUGACCCGGGAAAAUUCCAUCCGGAGGCUCCACUCCAGCCACAGCAGCGACCCCCGGGCACAGCUGGAGGAGACGCUGCAGCUGCGCACGGAGAGUCGCCAGGGCAGCCUGAGGGGGGACAGCCUGCGAGGGGACAGCCUGAGGGGGGACAGCUUGAGAGGGGACAGCCUGCGUGGCACCAGCAUCUGCUCUGCCAUGAGCGAGGAGCCCGAGGGCCGCAGUUACUCCACGCUCUCCACGGUGCGGGAGAUCGAGACGCAGACCGACGUCCCCGUGGUUGUCCCCGCUGUCCCCGCGGUGCCACCAGCGCCCGGCGGGAAGGAGCCCAAGGAGGAGGAGGAGGAGGGUGGGGGCGGCGGGGGGGACCCCAUCAAGGCGGCCAUGACGCACUUUGUGCAGGAGAACGGCAUGCUGCAGGCCAAGCCCAGCUCCAACGGCAUCUACAUCAACGGCCGCGGCCACCUGGUGUGAGCCGGGCCCCGGGGGGACACCUGGGGACACCUGGGGACACCUGGGGACAGCCAGCCCCCCUCGCACCCGCCCGGCUCUAUCCCCACUGCUCCGGUCCCCGGGUGUCACCUCCCCGCUGGUGUGGGGUCAAGGAUGGACUUCAGUCCCCUGGUGUCACCUCCCUGAUGCUGUGGGGCUGGGGACAAGGACAAUGUCCCAGGACUGUGUCACCUCCCUGCUGGUGUGGGGUCAAGGAUGGACUCUGGUCCCCAAGUGUCACCUCCCUGCUGGUGUGGGGACAAGGACAGUGCCCCAGGACUGGCUGUGGUCCUCAGGUGUCACCUCCCUGCUGGUGUGGGGUCAAGGAUGGACUCUGGUCCCCAAGUGUCACCUCCCUGCUGGCACAUGGAGUUGGGGACACCACCAAGCCCCAGGAGAUUCUUCGGUCCCCAAGUGUCACCUUGCUGCUGGCACAGGCUUGGGGACACCACCAAGGAGCUCAAGGACGUUCUCCAGUCCCCAAGUGCCACCUUCCUGCUUCAGAGAUGGACUCUGGUCCCCAAGUGCCACCUCCCUGCCGUCACAGGCUUGGGGACAAGCCCCAGGACAAGCUCCUUGUCCCCAGGUGUCCCCUCCCUGCUGGUGUGGGGUCAAGGAUGGACUCUGGUCCCCAAGUGCCACCUCCCUGCCAUCACAGGGAGGACAGGAUUGGGGACAAGCUCCUGUCCCCAGGUGCCACCUCUCUGCUGUCACAGCCUUGGGGACACCACCAAGUCCAGGACAAGCUCCUGUCCCCAGGUGCCACCAACCAGGGCCUGGGGACACUUGUGGUGACACUGGGGACCCCCAGGACCCUCCAAACUCCCCAGGACCAGGAGCCCCCUUGUCCCCCCCAACCUGGGUGGCACUGGGGACAGCCAUGUCCCCUCUCCCAUGGGUUGGUGGCACUGGGGACAGCCGUGUCCCCUUUCCCAUGGGUUGGUGGCACUUGGGGACAGCCGUGUCCCCUCCCCCCCGGGUGGGGGAGGGGCUGUACAGCCGUGUAUAGACCCUGUAAAUAAAGGACCCGCGGGACUGGGACCGGUGUGACACCUUGGGGACAAUGGGGACACGGGAGGGACACCAAGUCACGCGAGUGACAGGGGUAAUGUGGGUGACAUGGGGGUGACACUGUGACACGAGGGUGACACGGGGAUGGCAUGGGUGACAUGGUGACAUGGGGGUGACACUGAGACAUGGGUG